rnacentral:rRNA from 1 species
AUGAACGCUGGCGGCGUGCCUCAUACAUGCAAGUCGAGCGAACGGACGAGAAGCUUGCUUCUCUGAUGUUAGCGGCGGACGGGUGAGUAACACGUGGAUAACCUACCUAUAAGACUGGGAUAACUUCGGGAAACCGGAGCUAAUACCGGAUAAUAUUUUGAACCGCAUGGUUCAAAAGUGAAAGACGGUCUUGCUGUCACUUAUAGAUGGAUCCGCGCUGCAUUAGCUAGUUGGUAAGGUAACGGCUUACCAAGGCAACGAUGCAUAGCCGACCUGAGAGGGUGAUCGGCCACACUGGAACUGAGACACGGUCCAGACUCCUACGGGAGGCAGCAGUAGGGAAUCUUCCGCAAUGGGCGAAAGCCUGACGGAGCAACGCCGCGUGAGUGAUGAAGGUCUUCGGAUCGUAAAACUCUGUUAUUAGGGAAGAACAUAUGUGUAAGUAACUGUGCACAUCUUGACGGUACCUAAUCAGAAAGCCACGGCUAACUACGU